CUUGGUGGCUAUGCUGGCGUUGAACUACCUGAUCCCAUCCCGAACUCAGAAGUAAAAGACGCCAAGGCCCAUGAUAGUCGGGAUUACCCGGCGAAAGUAGGUAGCCGCCAGAC
rnacentral:rRNA from 2 species